CCCCACCCGCGCGCUCAUAUUCUAUACAGGGCACACCUCCUGGGAGUCGGUGGCUACAGGAUAAGCUCUGGGGUCUUGGAGUCUUAGGACCUGCUACUAUUUGCAGAGCUUGUGGAAGGUGUCCGGGCCCUGGAGGUACUAGGAGCUCACUGCUUUUCCUAAUAAAGUGAGUGAAGCAAAGGAAAUGUCUGUGGGUAAAGGCGACCCUCCGUGGGAUCAGGAUAUCCGGCUAGAUGGACCCUCAGAACCAUUUUAGCCAGACACCCUCCUGGAGACCAAAGGCCAGCAUCAGUCCAAUGCCAGAAUUCCAUUAGCUAAGCGCUGCUCCUGGUGAGCUCUGGUACCCUGUUGGCUUCUGUUCAGAGACUUUGCCAGUUGGAAAACCUGUCAUGAUCACCCAGGGGUUGGGCUGACUCCAGCUGCUGCAGCCCCACUCGGUCUAACCGCACCGGAAGUACAGUGCCCUCCUGUCCUCCAGAAAGACGCACUUUUACCCCAGUCAGAUCUCACCUCUGCAAUAUUUCCUGCAGCACCUCCCCAGAGUCAGUCUUUCCCCUUCUGCGGCUUAUUACUCAGGCUUAGGUUCAAAUGCUCUUCCUCAAAUACUUGAAAACAUUUCCACAUACUCUGAUCAGUUAUAGUCACAGGCCUCUCUUCUCUCCACCAAAUACAGUGCUCUAUGUCUUUCCAGCUCUGCUGUGGUGUCACUGACAAAACAGUUGGGGAAAUUCAAGACAUACAACUAGGAUGUUUUUGCCUCUGUUAUGAAGUGAUGACCUGUACAUGCACUGUGAGAAAGCUUGAGGCUGGCCCUGCUGUCAGCGUUCAGGUAUAUAGUGCAAUAUUAGUCAUCAUCAUGGCCGUGCCAAGCAUUGGAUAUCCUGAACCUAUCUGAGGCCAUUUAUAUCUCUAAAGCAGCUUAUGAUUCCGAAUAUGUAGCAGAGUUGACAGGAGCCAACAUGAGACCCAGUCAGCAACACUUUGCAGAUUCAAAAUGGAUGCAGGUGAUGGGACUCUUAAGAGAUGUCCUAAGAAAGCCUGGUGUUUCCACACAUAACAGUUCUUCAUGGAGACCUACUCCUAGGGAUGACAACGGGCUGUCAGAAGCAUUGCGUGCUGCUGCAAUUGAGAUUUGUGUCCCCCGCGUCUGUGCAACUUGAAGGCUUGGUCCCCAGUCUGUGUUGAGUGCUGGCUGAGCCUUUAGGAACUGGAGCCUCCUGGGAGGAAGUGAGGUGUUAGGCUAUUGAGAUAACGUGUCAAAAUGGGCUAUAGAACUCUGCCCCACCCCUCUCUUUCUCAUUCUGUCUGUCUCUCUGGCCUCUCUGGUUCUCUCUCAUUCUCUCUGUCUCUGUCUCUCCCUGAGUAUGUAUAUGUGAGUUUGUGUGUAUGUGGGGGAUAUGUCCUGGAGCAAAUGAAAAAUCUGAGUCUCAUUUCUUAGGUGCCAUCCACAUCGUUCUGAGAGUAGACUCUCUCAUUUUGCCUGGAAACCCUUUGAGUAGGCUGGACAGCCUAACAAGGGAGCUCUAAGAAUCCCUCCAGUUCUGUCUCUCCAGCUCUGGGACUUCCACUAUGCACCUCCAUGGCCAGUUAUCUGCAUGGGUUCUGAAGAGCAAACUCAAGUCCUCAUGCUGGGGGCCAGGGUGAGGGAACAGUGGUUGACUGACUGAGCCAUCUCCCCAGAUCCCUCCCAGCCACCAUGAGUCAGUGUAUACAGAGAAUGUUUUGGGCACAGGGAACACCCAAAAGAAAGACAGGUUCCUUGUUUAAAGUAGAAGAGUGGUGAUCUCAACAUGUCUGUAGUUAUUCCUUUAUAUCCACGCCCAUUGAUUAAGAGGAAGAAAAACUGGAUUAAAAACAAAACACAAAGAUGAA